ACUCCUACGGGAGGCAGCAGUGGGAAUAUUGCACAAUGGGCGCAAGCCUGAUGCAGCCGACGCCGCGUGUGUGAAGAAGGCCUUCGGGUUGUAAAGCACUUUCAGUCGUGAGGAAGGUAGUGUAGUUAAUAGCUGCAUUAUUUGACGUUAGCGACAGAAGAAGCACCGGCUAACUCCGUGCCAGCAGCCGCGGUAAUACAGAGGGUGCGAGCGUUAAUCGGAUUUACUGGGCGUAAAGCGUGCGUAGGCGGCUGAUUAAGUCGGAUGUGAAAUCCCUGAGCUUAACUUAGGAAUUGCAUUCGAUACUGGUCAGCUAGAGUAUGGGAGAGGAUGGUAGAAUUCCAGGUGUAGCGGUGAAAUGCGUAGAGAUCUGGAGGAAUACCGAUGGCGAAGGCAGCCAUCUGGCCUAAUACUGACGCUGAGGUACGAAAGCAUGGGGAGCAAACAGGAUUAGAUACCCUGGUAGU
rnacentral:rRNA from 1 species